UAUGUAGUUCUGCGGGGCGCCAAAGCGAACGAAGGCAGGAGUGCUCCUUAUCGUAUAUCCGGUUCCAGCCCGUCAAGCGUAAGGCUUGUGAGAUUAAUGUGGGCAGAAAGAACUGGCGCUCAUAUGACGCUUUUGUUUUGUUCUCGGAACGCUUGAAGCCAGACAACUACAGCGGCGAUACGCGCCUGCUCACCGAGUUCGGGAUACGCGUAAAAAAAACUGAGGCAGCCGUCAGGCGCGAAGCCAACCGUGUUCGCGCACCGAGCCAUCCGGCAAGCAAUCCCCCGGCAAAACGGCUCUCACAAACUACAUAUGGAACAACGACGGCAUUCACAAAGAAUGGAAGAUGCAAACACAAGACGUCCAACUUCAAGUGAAAUUUUCACACUUUCCAAGUUGGAGCCGGAGUCACAGGAGCUCACGCCAUCUCCACCAAGGCGCUUAACUGCGGCUGGAAGACUUUCUUUGGGCGGCUGUGACCCCAUCGCUUUAAAGCCGAGCCGUGUACAGGCAGAAAAGAAGUCCUACGCGGCCGGUAUUGACAAAUGCUGGUGGGUGGCGGUGCUGGCCUUUCUCAUGACCGUCAUGGAGUCGUCGUCCAGCCGCUGCUCCGGCUUCCUCAUGGUCGGAAUCAUGGAGCAGAUGAACGUCGAACGCGGCCUCGCCUCCUGGCCUGUCAGCCUCAUCGGCUCCCUUAUCGACUG